rnacentral:rRNA from 1 species
CACGUAGGGUGCGAGCGUUGUCCGGAAUUAUUGGGCGUAAAGAGCUCGUAGGCGGUGUGUCGCGUCGGCCGUGAAAACCUGCAGCUUAACUGUGGGCUUGCGGUCGAUACGGGCAUCACUGGAGUUCGGCAGGGGAGACUGGAAUUCCUGGUGUAGCGGUGAAAUGCGCAGAUAUCAGGAGGGAACACCGGUGGCGAAGGCGGGUCUCUGGGCCGAAUACUGACGCUGGAGGAGCGAAAAGCGUCGGGGAGCGAACAGG